AUUGAACGCUGGCGGCAGGCCUAACACAUGCAAGUCGAGCGGAUGAAGGGAGCUUGCUCCUGGAUUCAGCGGCGGACGGGUGAGUAAUGCCUAGGAAUCUGCCUGGUAGUGGGGGAUAACGUCCGGAAACGGGCGCUAAUACCGCAUACGUCGUGAGGGAGAAAGGGGGGGACCUUCGGAGCUCACGCCAUCAGAUGAGCCUAGGUCGGAUUAGCUAGUUGGUGGGGUAAAGGCCUACCAAGGCGACGAUCCGUAACUGGUCUGAGAGGAUGAUCAGUCACACUGGAACUGAGACACGGUCCAGACUCCUACGGGAGGCAGCCGUGGGGAAUAUUGGACAAUGGGCGAAAGCCUGAUCCAGCCAUGCCGCGUGUGUGAAGAAGGUCUUCGGAUUGUAAAGCACUUUAAGUUGGGAGGAAGGGCAGUAAGUUCAUACCUUGCUGUUUUGACGUUACCAACAGAAUAAGCACCGGCUAACUUCGUG
rnacentral:rRNA from 1 species